rnacentral:rRNA from 1 species
GACGAACGCUGGCGGCGUGCUUAACACAUGCAAGUCGAACGGAAAGGCCCUGCUUUUGUGGGGUGCUCGAGUGGCGAACGGGUGAGUAACACGUGAGUAACCUGCCCUUGACUUUGGGAUAACUUCAGUAAACUUGGGCUAAUACCGGAUAGGAGCUCCUGCUGCAUGGUGGGGGUUGGAAAGUUUCGGCGGUUGGGUAUGGACUCGCGGCUUAUCAGCUUGUUGGUGGGGUAGUGGCUUACCAAGGCUUUGACGGGUAGCCGGCCUGAGAGGGUGACCGGCCACAUUGGGACUGAGAUACGGCCCAGACUCCUACGGGAGGCAGCAGUGGGGAAUAUUGCACAAUGGGCGGAAGCCUGAUGCAGCAACGCAGCGUGCGGGAUGACGGCCUUCGGGUUGUAAACCGAUUUCGCCUGUGACGAAGCGUGAGUGACGGUAAUGGGUAAAGAAGCACCGGAUAACUACGUG